rnacentral:rRNA from 1 species
GACGAACGCUGGCGGCGUGCCUAAUACAUGCAAGUCGAGCGAAGUUUUUCUGGUGCUUGCACCGGAAAAACUUAGCGGCGAACGGGUGAGUAACACGUAAAGAACCUGCCUCAUAGACUGGGACAACUAUUGGAAACGAUAGCUAAUACCGGAUAAUAGCAUUAACUGCAUGGUUGAUGUUUAAAAGUUGGUUUUGCUAACACUAUGAGAUGGCUUUGCGGUGCAUUAGCUAGUUGGUGGGGUAAAGGCCUACCAAGGCGACGAUGCAUAGCCGACCUGAGAGGGUGAUCGGCCACACUGGGACUGAGACACGGCCCAGACUCCUACGGGGGGCAGCAGUAGGGAAUCUUCCGCAAUGGGCGAAAGCCUGACGGAGCAACGCCGCGUGAGUGAAGAAGGAUUUCGGUUCGUAAAGCUCUGUUGUUAGGGAAGAAUGAUUGUGUAGUAACUAUACACAGUAGAGACGGUACCUAACCAGAAAGCCACGGCUAACUACGUG